rnacentral:rRNA from 1 species
CAGCCGCCACGGUAAUACGUAGGUGGCAAGCGUUGUCCGGAAUUAUUGGGCGUAAAGGGCUCGCAGGCGGUUUCUUAAGUCUGAUGUGAAAGCCCCCGGCUCAACCGGGGAGGGUCAUUGGAAACUGGGAAACUUGAGUGCAGAAGAGGGGAGUGGAAUUCCACGUGUAGCGGUGAAAUGCGUAGAGAUGUGGAGGAACACCAGUGGCGAAGGCGACUCUCUGGUCUGUAACUGACGCUGAGGAGCGAAAGCGUGGGGAGCGAACAGGAUUAGAUACCCGCGUAGUCCCUGUCUCUUAUAC